GAUGAAGAACGUAGCGAAAUGCGAUAAGUAAUGUGAAUUGCAGAAUUCAGUGAAUCAUCGAAUCUUUGAACGCACCUUGCGCUCCCUGGUAUUCCGGGGAGCACGCCUGUUCGAGUGUCGCGAAAUUCUUCAAGCCUUGGAUGGAUUUUUUUUUGUCUGUCCUUGGGCUUGGUUGUUGGGCUCUGCCGUGUCCUUCAUUGGGACGGCUGGCCUUAAAAGCAUUAGCCGAUCCUCGUGUGGUACUGGUUCUACUCAGCGUGAUAACAAUCUGAUCGUUGAGGACAUCUUCUGGAUGGCCAGUCAUCAUUUGGGUUGCUUCUAAACCGGUUUCGCAGAUUGCUCAAUCUGUGUGCCACUUUUCAGCUUUGACCUCGAAUCAGGUGGGACUACCCGCUGAACUUAAGCAUAUCAUAAGCGGAGGA
rnacentral:misc_RNA from 1 species